CCUACGGGGGGCUGCAGUGGGGAAUAUUGGACAAUGGGGGGAACCCUGAUCCAGCCAUGCCGCGUGUGUGAAGAAGGCCCUCGGGUUGUAAAGCACUUUCAGUGAGGAAGAACGCCUGGUGGUUAAUACCCAUCAGGAAAGACUUCACUCACAGAAGAAGCACCGGCUAACUCCGUGCCAGCAGCCGCGGUAAUACGGAGGGUGCGAGCGUUAAUCGGAAUUACUGGGCGUAAAGCGCGCGUAGGUGGCUUGAUAAGCCGGUUGUGAAAGCCCCGGGCUCAACCUGGGAACGGCAUCCGGAACUGUCAAGCUAGAGUGCAGGAGAGGAAGGUAGAAUUCCCGGUGUAGCGGUGAAAUGCGUAGAGAUCGGGAGGAAUACCAGUGGCGAAGGCGGCCUUCUGGACUGACACUGACACUGAGGUGCGAAAGCGUGGGUAGCAAACAGGAUUAGAUACCCCUGUAGUC
rnacentral:rRNA from 1 species